GGGGCUGACCGGUUUUGACAGCAAGGAAGUGGAGAUGUAAGCAUGCCGAGGGUUGUGAAUAUGCCUCGUUAAUCCUAAUUCUCACAGCCAUUAACUGGCGACAAUCAUUACGCGUUAGCCGCUUAGUCUAGAGAUUAAGCCGCUUACUGCUUCCCGGGAAACCUCGCUUAACGGUGUCCCGACCGAAGCAUCAUAAAUGUUGAGCUAGCUUUUGCAAGGUCUUGGUGCACGAGCGAAAUAAAAAGACUAAGGUGAUAAUAGGUGUGCCUUUCAUCGGUUAUCUCCCGACAAUCAACUAAAGGAUAAGCAUGUAGAAAGCGUUUUGACUGCUUGUUUGGACCAGGGUUCGAAUCCCUGCAGCUCCACAA
rnacentral:tmRNA from 1 species